GAUCACUAACCCUGGGAGAAGGCAGCUGCCUUGUCUGGAGGCAACUCUACAGAGAGAAGCCAUGUUCAGACAAUAACUACAAGAGCCUUAAGAGGAAGCUUCAGCCACUCCCAACACUUUUGACUUCAACCUCGUAAGACUCUAAGCCAAAAGCUCACACUGGACCAUGGCCAGAAUCCUGACCAGCAAAGACAAAAACUGUGAAAUAAUAAAACGUUCAUUGCUUAGCAGCUAUACUUGGAGGAAAUUGCUAUAUGAUGAUAUAUAACUAAUACAGAUGUUCUAGAAAUAACACAUUUUGGAAGACUGGUAGGUCUUGGAAACCACCAGAAGAUUGGAGAAUUUGACCAGAAGGGACCCAGGCUCCCCUGGUUCUGGCUGUGGCCCCUGCUAGGGUCUAGCCCAUGGAACUGCUCUCUCCUGGUUUGCUUCAUGUUCUGAACAGAAAGAGAUGGAUUGAUCACCUCAGUGAUGACAGAUUGUGUUCCAGGCAUGGUGCAAGAGACUGACAGAUAGAAAAACAUGCACCUUUUUCUGAUUGAGCCAACAGAAUAAGGAGCAAUAUGAAUAAGGAGAUUUCUAACCUUGAAAGUUAUUGGAAUGACAAUGAUUAUAUCCAGAAGUUAAAUACCUCAGAAAGGAGAUACUGUUUUACUACAUUUCGAAAAUUCCUAAUUCUACUUGUGGAUACUGCAUAGACCGUUAACUCAAAAAUUGCUUCAUCCACGGACUGGUGAGCCACACUGAUAUCUUAAGCAAAAAAUAAAUGCUAGCUUCUGAAUAAACAAUUCUCCAUGCGGAAGAUAUAUUAUUUAGAUCUAAGUAAGCUGUUGAGUCUGAACACCUGUUAUCAUAGUUGUGAUUGGUCUCACCUAAGCCAGUGGCCUCAGGAUGAUAAUAGAUCAAGGGACAAAAACAUCAAAAAAAAUAUCCCCAGGAAUUUGUGAGCUACCAC